GCGAACCGCAUGUCUUCGCUCCACAUCGCUCUCGAGCAAACGAUUCCUUGAGAAACUUUUCAGUGUGCCAAAUUCAAAUUUAAAUAAAAAGGAAGUCAAAAGAACUCAAUUCCAAAAUUGAAAAUGGAACUCUAUGACGUCAUGUGAACGCAACUAAGUUUACAAAGUGGAUGUAUGAAAACGAUGGUUGUUAAUUAGCGAAGUGAAAUGAAAAGUGAACGGAAAUAUAUCUGUGUGUUAUGAAAAUUUGGGUUUCCACAAUGACUGUCUUGCUUGUUUUUGGACUUUUUGUGGUGAUAGCCACGGCCCACAACAUCACCAACCUCGAAGUCCCCCAAUACGGGGACCCCCGGAAGGAAGCCCGGCUGGAGUGCCACUACGUCAACGAGAGGGGGGACCCCCCUCUGCACUCCGUCAAGUGGUACCGAGACAAUAACGAGAUAUUCCGGUUUACUCCGGAUCAGCAGCCACCAAUCCGCACGUUCAACACGACAACCGGGGGUACCACCAAGGGAUCCUGCACCAUGCACAACUGUACCAUCACUGUGGCUCUCUCCCAGAAGUACAACACGAGGAUAGGCUUCACCUGUGAAGUCUCCACUGAAGGUCCGCGGUUUGCCGUUGUCAAACUCACCAAGUAUCUGACUGUUGCAGUGGCGUUGAAAAAGGACCCAGUGAUCACAGGAGCACCAGCCACGGUACAGAUGAAUGAAGACGUAAUAGUCAACUGCUCCACCGACUACGCUUUCCCACCGGCUAACCUCAUGUGGUACAUCGAUGGGAAACCAGAGAAGAUCGAACCAUGGAUGUCGGACAACACGGAGACGUCAGCGCCCGACGUGGACGGACUCCGAGCGAGUCACAGGGCGCUGCGGCUGAAGAUAGCCACGCCGAGGCCCUAUGUGGACCUCCGGUGCGAGGCCACGCAGCCUGUCAAGCCCCCCCACACGAGGUCCUCAAGCGUGACGAUCUAUGUAGCGCGCUCGCCAGCCAUCUCUAUGUUUACUUCUGCUUCUGGUUCAAUGUUACCAGAAGCGAAAAUCCUAUUGCUAGUAACAUGUAUGUUAUUACAUAUAUUUUCUAAAUACAGUGCCUUGAGAGAAGUGUAGCCGGUUCGAAGCCGGGGUGUGGAAAGUUAGGUUUAGCUAGUAAAGAUUCCACAUUCAGUGCUUACACACUUGGAAAUCGUGAUUUGGUUUAUAUAUAUACACUUUAUUGCACUUAACAACUAGAUACAUCACAAACAAGAAAUGGACGUUUACAAGGGUGGACUUAUCUCUAAGAGAGAUCUGUUCCAGCCAACCCAGAGGUAGUAUUAGAAUGACUGCGGAAGAAUAAAAAGAGGUGCAAUAUAUGAAAUACAUUAUAAUAAUUAUUAUAAUAUUGUCGAACAUAGAAUCUUGUUCUUUUUUCAAGUCGGUUAAAAAUUGUAGAUAUCAUGUCCCACGUUUAUCACCCUACCCAUAACAUACAGGAUGUGAGUGACGUACGUAACGAAAACUUUGAAGGAUGAUUCAGACCAUGAUUCUGAGUAGAAUUUUCCGUCGCAAAAGUAUGGAACUGAAAAUAAUUAAAAAAAACAUGGUCAUGGUCUGAAUCAUCCCCCUCAGUAUUCGAUGUCACUAACACCCUGUAUAAACAAUGAAGUUGUAAACAUGUGACAGCCAAACAAAGUUCAAUGUGGGAGUUUCCAAUCGACGUUAUCCAAACACACGAUAGAUGGCGUUGUUUGAGCUAGACAACUAAUUUGCCUAAUAGCUUUCGAUGCCAAUAAAUACGAGUACAAUCAUCUGAAUUGAAAUCGGUCUUGCAGAUAUUUUAAAUCUUUUUUCAAUAUCAGUGAAGAAAUUCAAUGUAUUAAUCGGAUCCAGUUUUUAUGUAACAAAGAGAUUUCCAAUUAAUUUGAAAAUGCUUUCAAAAAAGUGUGUAAGCACCAAUAUUUGUUGCUUUAUCCAUGGAACUAAUUGUUCAGGAUCAUACUUAUAUAUAAGCUCAUGCCUUUAAUGGAGAAGACAAGAGUCCCAAGUAAUUAAAAGGCAACUCGCAGCCGAUGUUGAGGCGAAGUUUUGAGUUAGAAUAUGUGCAAAGUGACAUUCUGCAUUCCACCGCCUAUUAUAAUUUCCAUCGCGUUAAAAAUAACUCCCCUCUAUAACUUACUAUAAAAAUAAUACUAACUUACCUUUGUUUUACGUGAUUUAUUGUACCGGACAAAUGGGCGCCUCCGUGGCCCAGUAAUUGAGCGUUGAGCUCACGAUCCCGAGGCCCCGGGUUCGAAUCCCGGUAGUUUGGUUAGGAUGUUACAGGCUGAUCGCCUGAUUGUCCGAAAGUAAGAUGAUCCGUACUUAGGAAGGCAUGUUAAGCCGUUGGUCUCGGUUAAUACUUACUGAUGUAGGUAUGUAGUCGUUACAUGAGCCAUGUCAGGGGCCUUUGGCGGGUCAGUAGUAACCCUGACACCAGGGUUGAUGAGGUUGGUAUUCCACGUCACAACCCACACGAUAAGAAGAGAAGACCCAUUCUUCUCUUCUUCUUAUUAAGAAGAAGAAGAAGAAUGGGGAGCGCUGCGGGCUCUUACCCGGUACAAAAUUUGAGAGAACAGGCCUGAGGGUGACAGUUAGGCGCGAACCUAAUCUCAGGGCGUCGUCUGAAGGAGUCAUAUUAUGUGAAAGAAUUAAUCGACGCUAGUGGAUCGAUAGCGGUAAGCGAAUGAGGGAAAUCGUCGAGCACGCUAACUUAUCAACAACACGAAUUGUGGUAUUAAUUUUUACUUGGAUCAAAAUUAAUUGUAAGAAAUCGAAGUUUGAUUGAAGCAAAUUACAUCAGAAUAUGAUUUACCAAAAAUGUUAAACACAUUUAAAUCACUUGGUUUCCAUUAUAAGGCGACGAAAUACUGACACGAUAAUCCCGAACUAAAUUGGUACUUGGUGCUGUUAAUUCAAAAGGCACUAGAUAAUAUUAUUUUGAUACAAAUACGAAUUUCCCUUUUCCCGUAUUCAUAGCUUUUUCGUCCAAUGAGCAAUUCCAUUCGCUAGCUCGCAUUCAGAAUUUUGCGGUUCAGGGGUUUUAAACAGCGCAUUUAAAUUGUAGUGCAUUUGGGGCCGGUCUUCCGUGCUACGUAAAGUAUAUACGUAGUAUCCUAGUCUUGUAUCUCGUGCUACUUGUAAAUAGCCAAUUUGUUUUCCAAGAACAAAUAGGACUUUUGAACACACUGGCUUUUAGCUAAGGAUUUUGCUUUGAGAAAUCUUCCGUUUAUAUUUACGGAUACAAUUUACACUUGUAAUUCUUAUCAAAGUGAACACAUCCAGAAUUGAUUAUACGGCCUUACCGAGACGCCAUGGCCACGUCGCCGGCGAUGGUCGCCAAAUAAUUCACAUUUAAAUGUGCGGCAGGUAAAUUACUUGGCGAUUUUGGUGACGCUUUGUCAACGAAGCCAUGCGAGCAUUAUUAAAAAAAAAAUGUUUGGCGAUGUUGCCGGCGACGUGGCGCGCAAGUUUCUUUGACGUGAGUUAUUGUAGAUUUGCCGUAGAUGUCAUUAACUACUUUGCCGGAAACCGCGAAAGUGUUUAAUGUCACAUGCAUAGUGCUUCAGUAAAUAGCGAGAGACAAAUAAACCGGAUUAUAAUGUUUGCCCCCGCGACAUAUUUCAAUCUUUUUUAAAACAUGCCCAAAAUGUCAGAGCUCAAUGAACUUUAGUUUAUACACUUGCUACACAAAGAGCGCGACAAUUGGGCAAAGUAUUUUGUAUGGAAUUGAAAACAAAACCACGGGCUCUGGCCCGCUAGAACACCCCAGACACUCCAUACAAAAAACAUAUUCUUACCACGUGCUAUCUUACCACGAGCGAGACAGACAGUCCGCACGAGCUCUCCCUUACUCCUCAGCAUCUUGCGGCAAUUUAGACUAAAUACCAAAGGGCGUGAGGUGAAUCCAGCUCGGCGCCGAUUCGAUGCGGGGCGCAGAGUUACCGUCCUACACGCAGUAAACAUUCUUUACUCCAUGUCACUGGUCGGCGUUGCCAGUUCUGUGUGCAUCAGGGUUUACUUUUGCAGUGGGUAUAUCCCAUAACAGAAAGUCUACAGUGAAACUGUAGUAAAAGACAAUUUAGUCCGGCGGAAUAAAUCCGAAAGAGUGGAAUGAGUUAUACGCUCAUUUAGUCCAAAGAGUUAUGGACUUGCAAAAUUGCAGUUUUGAGGGAUACUUUUUAGGUCACAGUACGUUCACCUUAUUAAACCGAUUACUCAAAUAUAACUGACUAUAUAGUGGGGUUAAAAGUUGAUUAAACAUUAUUCAUACAUAAAGCAUCGAAUUUCCAACUUAUAAUGUUAUGUUUAAUGUUAAAUUAAAUUAUAUGAACUGCAAAGUCAAUAAAAUAAUUAAUUUAGUUACAUGAAAAUGGUAUUCCUAUGAAUAUUAUACAGGCCGCUAGCGACACCGUAACGAAAACUUUGACGGAUUAUUCAGACUAUGAUUCUGAGUUGAUAUCAAGUUGAAUUUUCAUCGCAAAAAUAUCGAAUCGAAAAUGAUUUGAACCACACAAAAUAGUUUACAUAAAUUUUGCGAUGGAAAAUUCCACUUGAUAUUAACUCAGAAUCAUGAGCUGAAUCAUUCCCCUGAGUGUUCAGUACUGUGUCACUAACACCCUGUAUAUUCACAAACCGCAUUUGUAUAAUAAUUUUAUUGAAGUAAGAACCAAUGAGCAAUUUGGUGGCGAGAGCGUCGAAUCGUAAAAUACGAUUGAUUAAGUUAGUAAAUUAUGAAAUUUUGGCCCAAAUGGAAAAUCAUAAAAUGAAAUGGUUAUUUGAAUUGGAAUCUAAAUGAUUUUAAAGCCACACAAAUUCACACUGUCAAUCAAUGGCAGUCGGUCCAUGAAUAUUUGGGCUAACCUCUAUAUGUUAGUACUAGGUUUCACAUAACAUAACAGUAUACGUUCACGACUAUAGCCCAAUGGGGUACCACACGUCACUGAGCUGUCUGUUAAGGUCCGUGUCCACUACACCAUAUACGAAGAACAUAAUAUACCAUCCCGACGACCCGAUUACUCUAGCCAUAGAGGCAGCCAAUCAGAUACCAAACACUUCAGGGCCCCGAUACCGACCCCGCCGGCGUGAUCGAUGAUUUCCCUCAACCAACGCUUAUCGCUAUCGACCCACUAGGGUCGAUUAAUUCUUUCAAAUAUUUUUCCUCUCAGACGACGCCCUGAGCCGAGGUUCGCGCCCAACUGGGCACCCUCAGGCCUGUUGUCUUAAACGUUGUACCGGGUGAGAGCCUUCAGCGCUCCCCAUUUGUCCGGCCAAGUAGUUAAUGC
rnacentral:misc_RNA from 1 species